AGGGUGUGGGUUCGAAUCUCGGAUGGGACUCAACCCAAAAAAGUACUAGCAUUUGUACUUUACUAAGAACGUAAGCUGUAAUCCCAAAUAUAACAUGUUACAUUUGACCACUUUCGAAAUGGCAUUGUCUAUUCAUAAUUUGUACAUAUUAUAAAUGUACAGAGACAAAAUAAACAGACUAAUUC